rnacentral:rRNA from 1 species
CCUACGGGAGGCAGCAGUGGGGAAUUUUGGACAAUGGGCGCAAGCCUGAUCCAGCAAUGCCGCGUGAGUGAAGAAGGCCUUCGGGUUGUAAAGCUCUUUCAGUCGAGAAGAAAAGAUUGUGACUAAUAAUCAUAGUUCAUGACGGUAUCGAC